AUAUAAAAAUAAAUUGUAAAAUAAUGAAGAGAGACAAUAUGGCUGAUAUGAUGUAUGACAUCAAGAGCAGAAACUAAGAUAACAUAUGUAUUUAUAUGUAGUAUAGAUAGGCAAGCUCCGCAAUUCCAAACCCUAGCCAUUCCUCCAAAUAAAACCCUAAUUUUUAAGGGAAAUACCCAUUUCAUCCAUGGCCAAAAAGCGAAAGCAACGAUCCUCCGAACCCCAACCCACCAAAACAACGCCGGAUCCUCAAUCAAUCCAACAACAACCCGAAUAUGUACCCGACGAAGAUCCGAACCCCAAAGUAGAAGAGGAACUGCAACUACAGGAAGUGGAAGAGGAAGUAGAAGUGGAAGAAGAAGUUGAAGUAGAAGAGGAAGUUGAAGAAGAAGACGACGAUGACGAUGAUGAAGAAGCUCAAAAUCAAACCCUAGUCGGUUCCUCUAACGCCAACGGUGCCCCGGAAGAAACGGGUCAAGAAGAGGAUUUGGACGACGAGCCGUUCGAGAAACUUCUGGAACCAUUCGGGAAAGAUCAAUUGAUUACCCUUAUCAGGAGAGCCGUUGAUAAGCACCCGGAAUUUAUCUCGUCAGUUCGGGAGUUCGCAGAUGCGGACCCGGCCCAUCGGAAGAUCUUCGUUCAUGGGCUAAGUUGGGAUACCACUGCGGAAACCCUCACCGCCGAAUUUUGUAAGUAUGGGGAAAUCGAAGAAUGCAAAGCUGUUACCGAUAGGGUUUCUGGGAAAUCUAAAGGUUACGCCUUUAUUCUAUUUAAGCAUCGUAGUGGGGCACGCCGGGCUUUGAAACAACCCCAGAAGAAGAUUGGAAAUCGAACUACUUCUUGCCAGUUGGCUUCACAGGGGCCGGUUCCGGCGCCGCCUCCUACGGCUGCUCCUGUUUCCGAGUAUACUCAAAGGAAGAUUUUUGUUAGCAAUGUGUCAGCUGACUUGGACCCAGAGAAGUUGCUUGAGUUUUUUAAACAGUAUGGGGAAGUUGAGGAAGGUCCAAUGGGGCUCGAUAAGCAGACAGGGAAACCAAAGGGGUUUGCCCUUUUUGUAUACAGGUCAGUUGAGAGUGCGAGGAAAGCGUUAGAAGAGCCUCAUAAAAAUUUUGAAGGUCAUGUUUUGCAUUGCCAAAAAGCCAUUGAUGGGCCGAAAUCGACUAAAGGGGGUUAUGGAGGAGGUACUUCCGGUGGGCACCAUCAGCAGUACCAACAGCAUCAGCAUCAGCAUCAGCAAGGACAUCAGAUUCAGUCUCAUUACCAUCAUGCUAAGAAGGGAAAGUACUCAUCUGGUGGAUCAGAGACUGGUCAUUUGAUGGCUCCAUCUGGACCUACUGCAGUGGGGUUCAACCCUGGAGUUGCUGCUGGUGGGUUUAACCCUGCUGCUGCUGCACCUACUUUAAACCCAGCGCUUGGACAGGCUUUGACUGCAUUGCUUGCCGGCCAGGGUGGUUUGGGGCUUGGUAAUCUGCUUGGAGGGCUUAGUGGCGCCCCUGUGAACCAGGGGACACCUGCUGCAGGGUAUGGGAAUCAGGUUGCUGGAGGCUAUGGAGUGCAGGGUGGAUAUCAGAACCCACAGAUGGGUCAGGGCGGUGCUGGUAGGAAUCAACCUGGUAGUGGUGCUCCUUACAUGGGGCAUUAGGUAUGGCCUAAGGUGCAAAAAAUAUAUAUGGUCUCUCACUGUCGCUUUCAUGCUUAACACAUGGUUAACAGCAGCACUUCUAGUUGGCCUUACAAUGGGAACAAAUGAGUAGGGGAACCGAUUAACAAAGUUUUGUUGCUGUAAAACUGGAAAACAUGGUGUGAAGUGUGGAUUGUGAUGUAAUCAGCCACAACUUUGGGGUUGGGCAGAUUUGAAAUUUGUUGGAAAGUUCGUGGCAUGCAAUGCAAAUGCAAAGCACCUGUGGUGGGGAGAUUAUUGUGAAAGGGGCUUGGUUGGAGCAUCUUUGGCUUCUCUUUCAGUGGCGAUUGUGUACAGCGCUUUAGGCCUUUUUCUAGCUAGAAUGUUCUCAGCUCUGAUGUUUGGGUUUGAUUUUCGGUUGAACCAUCAUACUGGUAUGGUAUGUAUUUAGCAACAGUUGACCUAUCUGGCGCUCUACUUUCUUUGAUUUACAAUUGUUUUUAUAUAACUCAGGACAAAUCGCAACUCGCAUGAUGGGAUAUCCCACAUUCCACAGGGUACAAAGCAGGUUUUAAGUUGACGAUAGCUGAGGCUAUGCAUUGAUUAUCACCAAACAGGAUUACAGGUGCUACAGAGGCGAAAGCCAUUUAACAAGUGCUAGUCAAACAUACCUUCAUAUAUCCUACAUACAGUAGGGCAAAACACCCAAAAGGGAUGAUGUUUCAACCACCACCACAUCAUCAAUUAUAACCCUACUUUUUUUUUUCAACUUUCAUAUAACUUAAAAACGUUUCAGUCGUUUUGGUAACAACCAAAAGCCUAUACAAAACAUGGGGGCUCAGCAGAAGAACAUGGAAUUGCAGACGUUCUCCUUCAACCUCGGCAGCUGAGGGACAGAAAUGGCUCCGGGUGCAGUAACUCCACCAUGGCUCGAGGAUGUCUCUGAGGCAUCUUCAAACUUCAU